UGAUAACACUUUUUGCAAUUUCUGACCAAUGAUGCAAUGACACGUGAGAUAACUUUUCCAUGUGUCAUUGUGUUAUUGGCCGAAAAUAGCAAAAUAGUAUUAUCC
rnacentral:pre_miRNA from 1 species